GGGGUGCGGACCCGCCGGGGCGCCCCCUGCCCGCGCCCCCCUCGCCGCGGUGGACCCCGCGCGCCGCGCCCGGGCGCUCCCGGGGCGCAGCCGGGGCCCGGGCCGGCCUGGGCCGCGCGGACUCGCCUCCCGCCGCGCCGCGGGCCGGGGGUGAGCGGCGCGGGCGCCGCGACCCGGGGCGGCCGCGACCGUGGGCGGCGGGGCUGGGCGGCCGGGCGGGCGGCCGGGCGGCGCGCGGCCUGCCCCUUCCCCGGGCUCCGGCCACGCGGGCGGGCCGGCGCUGCGCCGCUGGCAACGUGUCGCCGGAACGCUCCUACCCCAUCCGCAUGCCUUACAAGGCUCGAAAGUAAAAAUAAAAAGAAUUACGAUGCGGGCGAGGCUUGCGAGGGGGAGAAGAGAUUCCACUUCUCCCCAACUACGGCGUCCUGGCGGGGCUCCCGGGGCAGUCCCCGGCCCUCCUCCAGCGCCCACCUGGAGCCCCGGGAGGAAAGGCACAAAGGCACCGCAGCCUCCCGCCCCGGUGGCCGCUCCUCCUGUCGUCUGCCGGCGCGUGUCUGCUCGGGGAGGGAGGGUGGCCAUUACAGACAGGCGAGCAGGAGGCCCGUCCUAAAGGCCACGCCGGUGGGGCCUCUCCAGUGGGGAAAUGCUGGGCGCCGCGACCGACUUAUCAACCUCGAGGAAAAAAACCCAGCCUUAUCGCCUUCACAUUUUGAGUUCUCGGGAACCCGACAGACAAUUCGCAGGGCCACCCAGCGACCGGCGCAGCCACCACUCCAAGUCUUUGGGCUCCUCCAAAGGACGGCCACCCACUGCUUAAGCCACACCAACCAGCAGCCUUGGGAGAGGACGAAAGGAGAGUCCAACAGGACACCCUGGUGGUGACAUAAAUAAAAAUAUGAUUGCACACCACUCCCACGUAGCCAAUUCAGUAGGUUCCUCCACAGAGGAGAAGCCCAGGUGACAACCCACCCCCACCCCCACCCCCACCUAAGCCCACCUGAGCCAGCGGGCCGGCCAUCUUGAGCUUUCCGAAAACUGCAGAAAAACCAGCGAGCAGGGUCGAGAAUGAUCUCCCUCUGAAACCCCCCUUGUCUGCAGUCCCUUUUAACCUCCCCGAAAGGGGAGGAAAAAUCCCAAGGGCUUCUCAAUUUUUUUUUUUCCAAAAUAUAAGGAAACCCCAAUAGAUCUGGGAGUCAUUCCUUUUUCACAAAGCCUCAAAGUGGUGGGUGGCAAGUCUUCGGCAAAGGCAUUCCCCCCACAGGCCUUAUCACUUACCAGUUAGUUCUAAGGGCAGAUUCCACCCCGGAGAGGAUUCCAAGGUGGGGGCCCAGGGAAAGCCGGAGGUCAUCCAGCCCCACCCCUUUGAAUUACCGAGCACUUGAUGGGACCUACCCAAACUCAUCAAGCAAGAGGUGUAAGAUGAGAGAAACAAGCUAGAGACGACUGAAGCCUUGCGCCAGAGACUAAGCGUCAGAACUUAGGUGACAAAAGCCCGACUGAGCUCCAGUGGAGACCCUCCUUCAGUGUAUCAGUUGAGGCUGCUGAAUCCCCCAUCAAAGGAAUCAAGGCCAGAGACCUUUGUGCAAGCCCCUUGCCCACCCAGAGAGGAAGAAACACUCCCCUUCCCUCCUCCUCUUGCAUCAUCAGCUCCCAGCCCUCCCCGUGGCCAACUACCCUCACACCGUAGCUAGAGAUCUCUUUACGGGAAGGGAAAUGGCAUGUUCAUUUUCCUUCCAGUCCUUUCUUUGUCCCCAGGGUUCAAGUGCACGGAAUAUGUCCUUCUCAAAAUUCUCCGUGCAAGCUGUUUAGCCUCCUGUGUCCAAACCGGCCAUCCUAACGUGAACAAAACCUUUAAAACAGGUAAGCCUUGGGGCAGGAGAAGCCCUAGGCAGCCGGUGGGGUAAGGUGAGACAAGCUGUCUUUUAUUAGCCUGCCUUUCUUCUGCAUGUUUUUGGUUUCUUCCAUUCUCCAACGUACAGACCUGCCUCAGCUGAGGAUGGGGUAAACCUCCCAAUAAGCCCAUCUUUAAGUUGAAAAUAUCCCUAAGUCGACAACGCAUCUAACAUACCUAACCGGCCCAACAUCACCGCUCAGCCUAGCUAAGCUUGAACGUGCACCUUGAACGCGCACAGAACACUUACAUUAGCCUCAACGGGGCAAAAUCAUCUAACGCCAAGUGUUGAAUACCUCAUCCAACUUCUUGACUACCGUACAGAAAGCGAAAAACCGAAUGGUUGUGCAGGUACAGAAUGGCUGUAGUGUAUCAGUUGCUUACCCCACUGACGGUGUGGCCACUGGGAGCUGGGGCUUUGCCGCGUCCCGAGAGAGGAUCGUAAGGUACCUCACUAGCUCAGGGAAAGAUCCAAAUCCAGAAUCUGAAGUUUGGUUUCUACCGAAGGUGUAUCGCUCUCACGCCAUCACAAAGUCGAAAACUUGUAUGUCCAACGAUCGUUAAGUCAGGGACCAUCUGUGUGCCUUAAUUUCUCUCUCCCGUUACAAACGUGGCAAGAGAGGUCACUCUGAAGAGGGAGCGGCGGACCAGCACUGCCUGGUGUGGAGACCAGACUACUCCACUCAUGUCUGCCUCCCUGUCUCUCUGAAAUGGGGGGGGGGGGAUCCACAUAUUUGCCCAAAGCCAAAGGAAGGCUCAGAGUGGCCUCUCCACCUCUUAAUUCCGUCCAACCCCAGCUCUGGAACAUGCUCCCUGACAAAAGGGUGCAGCGGCCAAAUUCUUCAGAACGACUCCAUUUUCAACUCCCCUCUUGAACUUUUCAAAAAGCACCCUUGUGCCUUAGACCCUGAGAAGUCUCCAAACACCGAGUGGAACUGUUGAAACCAUUGUUCUAUAAACACGUUUGACAGAAGAAUCCUGCGUGUGCCCUGGAACUCACUUUGGGCGACACUUUACUUCCUGGCUGGGGACCUGCUGGGACCUUUCGACAGCGCCUUCUGGGCAUGGGCCCGAGGCACACGUGUGUCUGGACUCCAGCCCUGUGGGUCCCCAGUCAGUGUGGAACUUCAGGCUCCUCCUGUGUGCAGAGUGCCCCUCCCCCUGACGUUUUGUUCUUUCUUCUCCCACAGGCUUCUCUGCCCCGCAACAUGAAAGCCCCU
rnacentral:lncRNA from 1 species